rnacentral:rRNA from 1 species
UACAGAGGGUGCAAGCGUUUAAUCGGAAUUACUGGGCGUAAAAGGGCGCGGUAGGUGGGUUGUUAAGUGAGAUGUGAAAUCCCUGGGCUUAACCUAGGAACUGCAUCUUAAACUGGCGAUCUAGAGUACUGUAGAGGAUAGUGGAAUUUCCCGGUGUAGCGGUGAAAUGCGUAGAUAUCGGAAGGAACACCAGUGGCGAAGGCGGCUAUCUGGACAGAUACUGACACUGAGGCGCGAGAGCGUGGGGAGCAAACAGG